rnacentral:rRNA from 1 species
GACGAACGCUGGCGGCAUGCUUAACACAUGCAAGUCGAACGAUGAACCCGGAGCUUGCUCCGGUGGAUUAGUGGCGAACGGGUGAGUAACACGUGAGUAACCUGCCCUUGACUCUGAGAUAACUGCGGGAAACUGUAGCUAAUACCGGAUACGACCCUCGGCGGCAUCGCCAGGGGGUGGAAAGAAUUUCGGUCAAGGAUGGACUCGUGGCCUAUCAGCUAGUUGGUGAGGUAACGGCUCACCAAGGCGACGGCGGGUAGCCGGCCUGAGAGGGUGACCGGCCACACUGGGACUGGGACACGGCCCAGACUCCUACGGGUGGCAGCAGUGGGGAAUAUUGCACAAUGGGCGCAAGCCUGAUGCAGCAACGCCGCGUGAGGGAUGACGGACUUCGGGUUGUAAACCUCUUUUAGUAGGGAAGAAGCGAAAGUGACGGUACCUAAAGAGGAAGCACCGGCUAACUACGUGCCAGCCGCCGCGGUAA